AGUGAACGCUGGCGGUAGGCCUAACACAUGCAAGUCGAACGGCAGCACAGUAAGAGCUUGCUCUUACGGGUGGCGAGUGGCGGACGGGUGCGGAAUACAUCGGAAUCUACUUUUUCGUGGGGGCUAACGUAGGGAAACUUACGCUAAUACCGCAUACGACCUACGGGUGAAAGCAGGGGAUCUUCGGACCUUGCGCGAUUGAAUGAGCCGAUGUCGGAUUAGCUAGUUGGCGGGGUAAAGGCCCACCAAGGCGACGAUCCGUAGCUGGUCUGAGAGGAUGAUCAGCCACACUGGAACUGAGACACGGUCCAGACUCCUACGGGAGGCAGCAGUGGGGAAUAUUGGACAAUGGGCGCAAGCCCGAUCCAGCCAUACCGCGUGGGUGAAGAAGGCCUUCGGAUUGUAAAGCCCUUUUGUUGGGAAAGAAAAGCAGCAGGUUAAUACCCCGCUGUUCUGACGGUACCCAAAGAAUAAGCACCGGCUAACUUCGUG
rnacentral:rRNA from 1 species